rnacentral:rRNA from 1 species
UACGGAGGGUGCAAGCGUUAUCCGGAAUCAUUGGGUUUAAAGGGUCCGUAGGCGGGUAAUUAAGUCAGAGGUGAAAUCCCACAGCUUAACUGUGGAACUGCCUUUGAUACUGGUUGUCUUGAAUUAUAGUGAAGUAGAUAGAAUGUGUAGUGUAGCGGUGAAAUGCUUAGAUAUUACACAGAAUACCGAUUGCGAAGGCAGUUUACUAACUAUAUAUUGACGCUAAUGGACGAAAGCGUGGGGAGCGAACAGG